CCCCAUUCCGGAUUGCGUCUAGAAAUGAAGACACGUCAAUUUGGGCUACCAGCAAUCGUGCUAUUCUACUACACCAUCUCCUUGUUUUGCCUAACAGUAACAUACGGAACUCCUGAGACACAGAUUAAAAGAAUUUAUUCUUCAAGUGACACGUUAACGCUCG